CUAGCACUGAGAUUGAAGGAACCCGUUCGUGUGGACUGAGUAGAGACGUUGUCAUCGUUCAACGUUCGUGAUCGCUUCGUGGAUCUGCAUCAAAGGUUUUGAUCAUCACAAGAGAUCUGCACCAAAGGUUUCAACCGUCACAAGAGUGGUGCGAACAUGGGGCAAUGGCGGUAACAUUCUAGAUCGUGGUUUAGGACAGGGUGCUCCAUCAAUGUUGGCUGGUGAGGAAGAGCAUAUUGGUGCACUUGCAUCUGCAGCAUAACCGAUUGGCUUUCCAGGAGGGUCAUACAAUACGUCUCUUUUGGUAAAGUACGAGCAAUAUAUUACUUGACAUUUAUGCUUCAGUGAGAGAGAGGUCCGAAGAAAGAGUUGAAAACUGGACAUGGGUUGAAGUUGACAUCGAGGGUUCCACAAGCUCUUCCACCACGGAUGAAGAGUUGGAUUUCUAGGCAUGUUAUAUCUUCACUCUAGAGGACCUGUUUGACGAAGAUAGACACAAACCCGGUAUCAACGUUUGUAAAGAGAUGGCAUCUAGAGACAUCUUCAUUUCAUAUAUCGUUUGGUGAGAUGAGCAUUACUCUGGACGACGUCUCUUGUCUUCUUCACUUGUCCAUAAGGGGGGGGGUGUUAUGUAGCCCUCAAGAUGUCACUGAAGAGGCUGAUGUUGAACUUGCUGUUAAUUACUUAGAAGUGUCAAAGAGUGAGGCACUAGGACAUGUCCGUAGUUGCAAGAGUUCUUACUAUAAGUUGGAGUGAUUAUUCAAUUUAUUCAAAGACCGUAGAGCUGCUUCUAGAUGGGAUUAUGAGAUAAUAGUGUAUAUGCUAAUGUUGGUGGGUUCCAUAAUUUUUGCCGAUAAGACCUUUAUGCUUGUCGAGGCACGACAUCUCAUACCAUUUAUAUACUUGGAGAGAUGUUUGGGAUAUAGUUCGGAAGUAGCUGCUUUGGUUACCCUCUACAGAUAUCUCGGAGAUGCUUCUAUGUUCAGUUGCAAAU